CCAGACAUUUCCAACCUGCACUAUACACACAUUAAGAUAUAAACCAGAGUUGGCUGCUGGCAGUUUGAGUUAUAUCCCACAUAUACUGUAACUUAUCCUAAGCAUACCUUAAUGAUGGCAGUUUGAGUUGUAAGAGCACGGGGAUGAACGAGUACGACUUCCGACAGUUAAAUCGGUGGGUUAUUGGAUUGAGGUUCUUGGAUAGAAGAUAAUUUAUGGAUUAUGGGAUAGGGUUCACGGUGGUUUCUAGGUUCUUGGAUAUUAGGAUUGACGAGUGUGAUUGGAGAAGACCAACGAUUAAUGGGAAACGAUUGCUCUUGGAAAACAACAUCUUUGAGUUUCGAUUGCUCUGAGUUUGAUUACAGAGGAACGAAUUUUAUCGAAGUUCGAUUCCUUUAGGUUUGAAGCUAGAAGAAGAUUGAUUUUGUUUCUAGGGUUUGAGUUCAAUGUUUGCUGGAAGUGGUUUGAAGAUCGUGGGAUUGAGAUUGGGAGCUUUGAAAAUUUGAUAG
rnacentral:lncRNA from 1 species